rnacentral:rRNA from 1 species
AUGGCUAAAACAGAAAACAGUAGGAGCGGGAUAAACGAGUUAUACCCUCCAGUAGGCCAUGCAGAGGCCGCGGCUUUGGUGGCAGCAGCGGCGUCCUCGGCGGCUUUCUUGUCAGCUUCAGCUUUCUCGGCGGCGGCACGUUCGGCGUCGGUGGACAUGGUGAUGAUGAAGGCGACACAGACACAAUGGAUCUUACAAAAUGUUAACAUCCGCAAGGAGGGCCCUGAGCACAAAGCCCCAGUGGAUGAGAAAUAUGACUAUGACUGGAACUCUGACGAGGAUAGCGUUCUUGACACUGAAGACAUCGUUGAAGAGGUUGAAGACGUCCUUGAAGAUGAAAACAACAAAUAUUAUUUUUUCCUUGGAUUUCAUCCUUAUAAAGAGGUUGUCUUCUUGAAUUCAUCAACAUCCAGAGGACUAGCGUAUGACUGGGUCAACUCAAAAUUUCAGGACUUGGCUAGAUCAUGGACAUGGCCAGUUUAUGGAUUAUCAUAUGGAAAGAUAGACGCAUCUUUCCCAUACACGCCUUGCUGGAUAAGCAAGUUUCCUGGAAACGAAUUAGAAUCUCUACUUGAAGGUGAGAAGCUAUCUAGGAGAAAGUUGGAACAGGAAUCUCAACUUAAGGAGGAAUCCAACUUUACCUACAUGGGUGAGUACGAGUUGCGCAAGCACUCUGGGCGCGCCAAGAGGGUCAAGGACUCCGCCGCCAAGGUUCGCAACAGACGCCACAUCAUGGCUCGGCCGGCGAUUAUGACGCCACAUCAAAGAAUGUCCGGCAAUAAUUUGGCAAAGACUGAGGAGUACACCUUCAGGGACCUCUUCAAGAAGAUGGGACCCAUACCCAGCUCCGUGUCUACCAUGCAUCUGUUAGGAAAAUAA